rnacentral:lncRNA from 1 species
CGCCCCGCCAAGAUGGCGCGGCCCGGCCCCGCUCCCUCAGGGCUCGGCCGCCAUGGCGGGGCGCCGCCGCGUGCUCCCUGAGGGCGGGCGGCUGCAGCGCUGUGCGGGAAGGAGACACGGCCUAGAGUCACGGCAGGGGUUGCGGAAUCAGUGCCUGGUCACCCGCACAGGAAAGUUCUUCUUCGUGUUCAGAUCCAGGAAAAAGCUGGAGGAAUGGGAGCCACGGGAUGUGCACGUCCUUCGUGGGCACGCAGCGGGAGGAGUUAGCAGUCAUCAAUCAUUUGGUGUGCUGACCUUUGAGAUCCAAAAGGAGACGCAUUCCCUGUGUUUUCUCCAUCUCCAUGGGUUACCUGAGCUCCUCAGAGCUCACUCUGGGACUUACCUGACCAGAUGCAGUCCAGCAAUUGAGAAGAACCCAGCACUCCUGUAUAUGGAUCACAGGAAUAUCUUCCACUGAUUUAGACAAAAUAAAAAUGAAAGCCCUGCUAUUUCAACAGCAGCCUAGGAGGUGAAGGCACAGGCUGAGGAAAAACAAAGAGGAAGGACUAGCAACGCCUUUGAUGAGAACCAAGAAUCAGAGAUGAAAGGACAAAAAAGAAACCCACAGAGAGCCUGGAACAAUGAACUCCAACUUCUCCCCCAAAAACUGCCCUGUAGCUGGUUAACCCCUUCCCUGCCUGAAGUGCCACCUCUCUGCUAUUCUUAAUUGGUGCCAAGCGGUGUCACUGAAGUGUUCUGCGAGCUCUGGCCCCUCCUGCCAGCGUUGUUUUCAGCAGGGGUGGCAGAAGGGCUGUGGGCCUGCCUGUCCCUCUGCAGCCCCGGCCCGUGGCCAGGGUGGGAGCCAGCAGCCCAGGACAGCACCCUGG